GGUCAUUCUUGACCUUUGACUAAGAUCAAGUGAGCAGUGUUCCUUAUCAGUUUAGUAUCUGAUACUGUUCUCAUCAGGACAUAACAAUGAAAGGAUUUUUGGAACAGAGCUUGCCUCUUGUCCACCCACCAUCUAUCUGGUUAUGCAGUACUCCAGAAAUGGUGCACCCCUC
rnacentral:snRNA from 1 species